UGGGGGAGCUGAAACAACAAGAAUCCCUGAACUGUCCAACCACAGUAACUACAGUCUCACAAUCUCCAGAAAGUGCAGAUGGUGGAGAAGCAACAAGUACUUCAGAUGUAAAUCCAGUUACUCAGACUCCAAAUACCAGGCCGAAGAGACAGAGGAGACCACCACAAAAGUAUGGUUUCACAAAUCUAUGCACUAGCAGUGCAGCAGGUAUGGAGGAGAUAGGUUUUGUGGAAGGCAUAAGUUAUAAUCUUCAUUAGCAUGGUAUGAAAGAGUAAAAGAUUGUUUAGUUAACAUAGGUUUCUUCAUUUAUUAGGCAUUACAACUGACUAAUGUAAUAGGUUUUGUCAUGAAUAAUUAAAUGAAACACAGUUUGAAUUUAAUUAGUUUAUUUUGUUAAGUGGGGGUAUUGAUAUUAGAACUUCUUUGUAACAAAAUAUGUAUUAAAUAUUGUUUAUGGUAGCA